UAGGGAAUCUUCGGCAAUGGGGGGAACCCUGACCGAGCAACGCCGCGUGAGUGAAGAAGGUUUUCGGAUCGUAAAGCUCUGUUGUUAAGGAAGAACGAGUGUGAGAAUGGAAAAUUCAUACUGUGACGGUACUUAACCAGAAAGGGACGGCUAACUACGUGCCAGCAGCCGCGGUAAUACGUAGGUCCCGAGCGUUGUCCGGAUUUAUUGGGCGUAAAGCGAGCGCAGGCGGUUAGAUAAGUCUGAAGUUAAAGGCAGUGGCUCAACCAUUGUAGGCUUUGGAAACUGUUUAACUUGAGUGCAGAAGGGGAGAGUGGAAUUCCAUGUGUAGCGGUGAAAUGCGUAGAUAUAUGGAGGAACACCGGUGGCGAAAGCGGCUCUCUGGUCUGUAACUGACGCUGAGGCUCGAAAGCGUGGGGAGCGAACAGG
rnacentral:rRNA from 1 species